UACGUAGGGUGCAAGCGUUGUCCGGAAUUAUUGGGCGUAAAGAGCUCGUAGGCGGUUUGUCGCGUCUGCUGUGAAAACUCGGGGCUUAACGCCGGGCCUGCAGUGGGUACGGGCAGACUAGAGUGCGGUAGGGGAGACUGGAAUUCCUGGUGUAGCGGUGAAAUGCGCAGAUAUCAGGAGGAACACCGGUGGCGAAGGCGGGUCUCUGGGCAUUAACUGACGCUGAGGAGCGAAAGCAUGGGGAGCGAACAGG
rnacentral:rRNA from 1 species